rnacentral:tRNA from 1 species
GGCGGAUGUAGCCAAGUGGAUCAAGGCAAUGGA